GCUCGUAGUUGGAUCUCGGCGGACAGAAGUCGGUCCGAAUGCUUUCGGUACUGGCUUGUUUGUCCGUGUGUUUUGCCAGAGGCAGGCGGGUGCUCUUCGCCGAGUGUCCGUCUGUGCUGGCAGGUUUACUUUGAAAAAAUUAGAGUGCUCAAAGCAAGCUCUCACGCUUGAAUAUUCGUGCAUGGAAUAAUAGAAUAGGAUGUCGUUUCUAUUUUGUUGGUUUUCGGAAAUCGACAUAAUGAUUAAUAGGGACAGUCGGGGGCAUUUGUAUUCAAACGACAGAGGUGAAAUUCUUGGACCGUUUGAAGACAAACUACUGCGAAAGCAUUUGCCAAGAAUGUUUUCAUUAAUCAAGAACGAAAGUUAGAGGUUCGAAGGCGAUUAGAUACCGCCCUAGUUCUAACCAUAAACGAUGCCAGCUGGCGAUCUGCAGGCGUUUUACUUUACGACCUUGCAGGGAGCUUCCGGGAAACCAAAGCUUGUGGGUUCCAGGGGAAGUAUGGUUGCAAAGCUGAAACUUAAAGGAAUUGACGGAAGGGCACCACCAGGAGUGGAGCCUGUGGCUUAAUUUGACUCAACACGGGAAAUCUCACCAGGCCCGGACACGAGAAGGAUUGACAGAUUGAUAGCUCUUUCUUGAUUUCGUGGGUGGUGGUGCAUGGCCGUUCUUAGUUGGUGGAGUGAUUUGUCUGGUUAAUUCCGAUAACGAACGAGACUCUGUCCUGCUAACUAGUGUCUGCUUCUUUUCUGAGCAGAUUAUUCUUCUUAGAGGGACUGGUAGCUCUUAGCUACACGAGAUUGAGCAAUAACAGGUCUGU
rnacentral:rRNA from 1 species